GACGAACGCUGGCGGCGUGCCUAAUACAUGCAAGUCGAACGCAGUGGGGACGGGUGAGUAACACGUGGGUAACCUCGCAUCAGAGGGGAGAACACGUGGAAACAGGUGCUAAACCGAUACUGAAGGAGGGACCCGCGGUGCAUUAGCUUGGUGGUGAGGGAACGGCUCACCAAGGCCACGAUGAAUAGCCGGCCUGAUAGGGUGAUCGGCCACACUGGAACUGAGACACGGCCCAGACUCCUACGGGAGGCAGCAGUAGGGAAUCUUCGGCAAUGGACGAAAGUCUGACCCAGCCACGCCGCGUGAGUGAAGAAGGUUUUCGGAUUGUAAAACUCUGUUGUUAGAGAAGCGGUAUCUAACCAGAAAGCCACGGCUAACUACGUGCCAGCAGCCGCGGUAAUUC
rnacentral:rRNA from 1 species